GGAGGGUGCAAGCGUUGUUCGGAAUUAUUGGGCGUAAAGAGCGUGUAGGCGGUCCGGUAAGUCAGAUGUGAAAGCCCUGGGCUCAACCCAGGAAGUGCAUUUGAAACUACCAGACUUGAGUACGGGAGAGGAGGGGGGAAUUCCCGGUGUAGAGGUGAAAUUCGUAGAUAUCGGGAGGAAUACCAGUGGCGAAGGCGCCCCUCUGGACCGAUACUGACGCUGAGACGCGAAAGCGUGGGGAGCAAACAGGAUUAGAUACCCUGGUAGUCCACGCCGUAAACCGAUGAGCACUAGGUGUAGCGGGUAUUGACCCCCCCUGCUGUGCCCGUAGCUAACGCAUUAAGUGCUCCGCCUGGGGACUACGGUCGCAAGACUA
rnacentral:rRNA from 1 species